rnacentral:rRNA from 1 species
CCUACGGGUGGCAGCAGUAGGGAAUAUUACUCAAUGGGGGAAACCCUGAAGCAGCAACGCCGCGUGGAGGAUGAAGGUUUUAGGAUUGUAAACUCCUUUUGUUAGAGAAGAUUAUGACGGUAUCUAACGAAUAAGCACCGGCUAACGCCGUGCCAGCAGCCGCGGUAAUACGGAGGGUGCAAGCGUUACUCGGAAUCACUGGGCGUAAAGAGUGCGUAGGUGGGGUAAUAAGUCAGAUGUGAAAUCCUGUAGCUUAACUACAGAACUGCAGUUGAAACUGUUACUCUGGAGUGUGGGAGAGGUAGGUGGAAUUCGUGGUGUAGGGGUAAAAUGCGUAGAGAUCAAGAGGAAUACUCAUUGCGAAGGCGACCUGCUGGAACAUUACUGACGCUGAUGCACGAAAGCGUGGGGAGCAAACAGGAUUAGAUACCCGUGUAGUC